rnacentral:rRNA from 1 species
UAGGGAAUCUUCCACAAUGGACGAAAGUCUGAUGGAGCAACGCCGCGUGAGUGAAGAAGGGUUUCGGCUCGUAAACCUCUGUUGUUAAAGAAGAACAUAUCUGAGAGUAACUGUUCAGGUAUUGACGGUAUUUAACCAGAAAGCCACGGCUAACUACGUGCCAGCAGCCGCGGUAAUACGUAGGUGGCAAGCGUUGUCCGGAUUUAUUGGGCGUAAAGCGAGCGCAGGCGGUUUUUUAAGUCUGAUGUGAAAGCCUUCGGCUCAACCGAAGAAGUGCAUCGGAAACUGGGAAACUUGAGUGCAGAAGAGGACAGUGGAACUCCAUGUGUAGAGGUGAAAUGCGUAGAUAUAUGGAAGAACACCAGUGGCGAAGGCGGCUGUCUGGUCUGUAACUGACGCUGAGGCUCGAAAGUAUGGGUAGAAAACAGG